AGAUACAUGAACACGAUAAUUAAUGGAGGAUUUGGGAAACGAAGGUGGAAAAUAUGGUAACGUGGCGAAUAUUGUUAUCCCACGACCUAAUCCAAAUAAUGAUCCCACACCAGGAGUUGGAAAGGUUUUCUUCGAGUAUGUGAAUGUGGAUGAUGCAUCAAUGGCUAGAUUGGGGAUGAAUGAAAGAUUUUUUUGUCUUUAUCUAU